GGGUUGUGAGGUUAAGCGACUAAGCGUACACGGUGGAUGCCCUGGCAGUCAGAGGCGAUGAAGGGCGUGCUAAUCUGCGAUAAGCGCCGGUAAGGUGAUAUGAACCGUUAUAACCGGCGAUACCCGAAUGGGGAAACCCAGUGUGAUUCGUCACACUAUCAUUAACUGAAUCCAUAGGUUAAUGAGGCGAACCGGGGGAACUGAAACAUCUAAGUACCCCGAGGAAAAGAAAUCAACCGAGAUUCCCCCAGUAGCGGCGAGCGAACGGGGAGGAGCCCAGAGCCUGAAUCAGCAUGUGUGUUAGUGGAAGCGUCUGGAAAGGCGCGCGAUACAGGGUGACAGCCCCGUACACAAAAGCGCAUGUGCUGUGAGCUCGAUGAGUAGGGCGGGACACGUGGUAUCCUGUCUGAAUAUGGGGGGACCAUCCUCCAAGGCUAAAUACUCCUGACUGACCGAUAGUGAACCAGUACCGUGAGGGAAAGGCGAAAAGAACCCCGGCGAGGGGAGUGAAAAAGAACCUGAAACCGUGUACGUACAAGCAGUGGGAGCCCCACCACUAAGCCAGUGGUGAACUCCACAUCCGCAUCCUUUGCUGAGGAUACGGUUAACGGAGCGAAAGCGACGUUCAACCGCAAAACAAGCAGAGGGGGCUUAGUGGUGGGGUGACUGCGUACCUUUUGUAUAAUGGGUCAGCGACUUAUAUUCUGUAGCAAGGUUAACCGAAUAGGGGAGCCGGAGGGAAACCGAGUCUUAAUUGGGCGUUAAGUUGCAGGGUAUAGACCCGAAACCCGGUGAUCUAGCCAUGGGCAGGUUGAAGGUUGGGUAACACUAACUGGAGGACCGAACCGACUAAUGUUGAAAAAUUAGCGGAUGACCUGUGGCUGGGGGUGAAAGGCCAAUCAAACCGGGAGAUAGCUGGUUCUCCCCGAAAGCUAUUUAGGUAGCGCCUCGUGAAUUCAUCUCCGGGGGUAGAGCACUGUUUCGGCUAGGGGGCCAUCCCGGCUUACCAACCCGAUGCAAACUGCGAAUACCGGAGAAUGUUAUCACGGGAGACACACGGCGGGUGCUAACGUCCGUCGUGAAGAGGGAAACAACCCAGACCGCCAGCUAAGGUCCCAAAGUCAUGGUUAAGUGGGAAACGAUGUGGGAAGGCCCAGACAGCCAGGAUGUUGGCUUAGAAGCAGCCAUCAUUUAAAGAAAGCGUAAUAGCUCACUGGUCGAGUCGGCCUGCGCGGAAGAUGUAACGGGGCUAAACCAUGCACCGAAGCUGCGGCAGCGAACGUAUCACCCAAGACAACUUUACGGAGUUGACGAUUGACGGAGCGAAGCGACGUCAAAGCGUUCAUUAAAGUCGAGUUGGCUUAGGGAUACGUUCGUUGGGUAGGGGAGCGUUCUGUAAGCCUGUGAAGGUGUGUCGUGAGGCAUGCUGGAGGUAUCAGAAGUGCGAAUGCUGACAUAAGUAACGAUAAAGCGGGUGAAAAGCCCGCUCGCCGGAAGACCAAGGGUUCCUGUCCAACGUUAAUCGGGGCAGGGUGAGUCGACCCCUAAGGCGAGGCCGAAAGGCGUAGUCGAUGGGAAACGGGUUAAUAUUCCCGUACUUGGUGUUACUGCGAAGGGGGGACGGAGAAGGCUAUGUUGGCCGGGCGACGGUUGUCCCGGUUUAAGCGUGUAGGUGUGUGUUCCAGGUAAAUCCGGUUCACUUUAACACUGAGGCGUGACGACGAGGCACUACGGUGCUGAAGCAACAAAUGCCCUGCUUCCAGGAAAAGCCUCUAAGCAUCAGGUAACACGAAAUCGUACCCCAAACCGACACAGGUGGUCAGGUAGAGAAUACCAAGGCGCUUGAGAGAACUCGGGUGAAGGAACUAGGCAAAAUGGUGCCGUAACUUCGGGAGAAGGCACGCUGACACGUAGGUGAAGUGAUUUACUCAUGGAGCUGAAGUCAGUCGAAGAUACCAGCUGGCUGCAACUGUUUAUUAAAAACACAGCACUGUGCAAACACGAAAGUGGACGUAUACGGUGUGACGCCUGCCCGGUGCCGGAAGGUUAAUUGAUGGGGUCAGCGCAAGCGAAGCUCCUGAUCGAAGCCCCGGUAAACGGCGGCCGUAACUAUAACGGUCCUAAGGUAGCGAAAUUCCUUGUCGGGUAAGUUCCGACCUGCACGAAUGGCGUAAUGAUGGCCAGGCUGUCUCCACCCGAGACUCAGUGAAAUUGAACUCGCUGUGAAGAUGCAGUGUACCCGCGGCAAGACGGAAAGACCCCGUGAACCUUUACUAUAGCUUGACACUGAACAUUGAGCCUUGAUGUGUAGGAUAGGUGGGAGGCUUUGAAGUGUGGACGCCAGUCUGCAUGGAGCCGACCUUGAAAUACCACCCUUUAAUGUUUGAUGUUCUAACGUGGACCCGUAAUCCGGGUUGCGGACAGUGUCUGGUGGGUAGUUUGACUGGGGCGGUCUCCUCCUAAAGAGUAACGGAGGAGCACGAAGGUUGGCUAAUCCUGGUCGGACAUCAGGAGGUUAGUGCAAUGGCAUAAGCCAGCUUGACUGCGAGCGUGACGGCGCGAGCAGGUGCGAAAGCAGGUCAUAGUGAUCCGGUGGUUCUGAAUGGAAGGGCCAUCGCUCAACGGAUAAAAGGUACUCCGGGGAUAACAGGCUGAUACCGCCCAAGAGUUCAUAUCGACGGCGGUGUUUGGCACCUCGAUGUCGGCUCAUCACAUCCUGGGGCUGAAGUAGGUCCCAAGGGUAUGGCUGUUCGCCAUUUAAAGUGGUACGCGAGCUGGGUUUAGAACGUCGUGAGACAGUUCGGUCCCUAUCUGCCGUGGGCGCUGGAGAACUGAGGGGGGCUGCUCCUAGUACGAGAGGACCGGAGUGGACGCAUCACUGGUGUUCGGGUUGUCAUGCCAAUGGCACUGCCCGGUAGCUAAAUGCGGAAGAGAUAAGUGCUGAAAGCAUCUAAGCACGAAACUUGCCCCGAGAUGAGUUCUCCCUGAGACUUAGAGUCUCCUGAAGGAACGUUGAAGACGACGACGUUGAUAGGCCGGGUGUGUAAGCGCAGCGAUGCGUUGAGCUAACCGGUACUAAUGAACCGUGAGGCUUAACCUUACAACGCCGAAG
rnacentral:rRNA from 2 species